rnacentral:rRNA from 1 species
ACAGAGGGUGCAAGCGUUAAUCGGAAUUACUGGGCGUAAAGCGCACGUAGGCGGCAUGGCAAGUCAGGUGUGAAAGCCCCGGGCUUAACUCGGGAACUGCAUCUGAAACUGCUUUGCUUGAGUCCUGGAGGGGGUAGUGGAAUUCCCAGUGUAGCGGUGAAAUGCGUAGAUAUUGGGAGGAACACCGGUGGCGAAGGCGGCUACCUGGCUCGUAACUGACGCUCAUGCACGACAGCGUGGGGAUCAAACAGGA